CCGGAUAGCUCAGUCGGUAGAGCAUCAGA
rnacentral:piRNA from 9 species